UACGUAGGUGGCGAGCGUUGUCCGGAAUUACUGGGUGUAAAGCGCGUGUAGGCGGGAGGCCAAGUCUGCGGUGAAAUCGCUCGGCUCAACUGGGCGGGGUCCGUGGAAACUGGUCACCUGGAGGACGGUAGAGGCGAGUGGAAUUCCCGGUGUAGUGGUGAAAUGCGUAGAGAUCGGGAGGAACACCAGUGGCGAAGGCGGCUCGCUGGGCCGGACCUGACGCUGAGACGCGAAAGCGUGGGGAGCAAACAGG
rnacentral:rRNA from 1 species